GCCGCCGUGGCGGAACGGUUUACGCGUACGACUUAAAAUCGUAUGGGGCAACCCAUGUGGGUUCGAAUCCCACCGGCGGCACCA
rnacentral:tRNA from 1 species